UCUCUAAGGUCAAAACAUAAGUAAUCCAUCCGUUCAUUUCACAGAAACAACAUAUCAAUUUACAGUAGAAAAAGGUACCUAAAUGGAGUUUUAGGUCAAUCUUGUAAAUGGCGAAACGAAAAGCUAGAAGGGUUGCUGUUGAACAAUCAUUGCCUGUAAACGUUGAAAAUAAUGUCAACAACAAGACCGAGAAACCAGAAAUAGAAGAAAAAAGUAACACAUUUGUAGAUCUUGAAGUGGAAAGGCGAAUUGCUUCAACUCAAUUGGUGAUGCGGAGGAACAACAUCUGCUGAUUGGAUUGCGUUUGCUUCGUUCUAAUUGUAGUGACGAGCAGCUACAAACCCCAGUUCUGCAAUUUUUCAAAGAAAAUAUGCCGAACUUGGCGGUAAAGACGAACGAUGGACAAUUUGAAGUCGGGUGGAAAGAAGAAGAUGAAAGAAAUAUGCAUGCAUCUUUUCUACAGCAGAUGUUCAUGGCACACCCACAUUGUGGUUCCGCAAGGCCAUCUAUUAGUGGUUUUGAUUUCUCGAGUAAAAAAGGGAAUACAAACCUUCAAAUACCAGACUUUCUUAUGGGAGAACCAUCAAAUACCCAAAUGCUUGGUUGACACCUGGGGCAAGUUCACAAAGAUAUUCAAUUGGCAUGACUCCUAAAACUCAAAGGAUACCAAUGCCCGGAGAGAUGCUUCACUCUGCCCGCGGCUCACCACUUGGGGUCAAGGAAGACAACAUGGAAGCGAUACAUGAGUCAGGUGAGGAUUAAUUGGCCCAAAAUCUGGUUCUCUGCAAAACAUGUCUUGGGGAAACUCACUUAACAGGUCAAGCUUCUCUGAAAACCUUAAUAUGCCGAUCGAAGAAAAUACCUUAAUAUAUUUUCUCAAUCGAGUUACUAAAGGAAAAUUUGUGCCAUUUGGCAUUUGCAGACACUGUUUGUUAUAUAUACGGAAAUGAUCAGAGGUUUACAAUUUCAAAGUUAGAAAAUAACCUCAUGUAAUUAAUAGCUUCGAGUU